rnacentral:misc_RNA from 1 species
GUAUUUUGAAUUAUUUUAUUCGUAAUAUUUUUCAGACAAAGAGUUAAAGAGUUGGUUGAUGUUUGGUCGUUCCCAUAGAAGAGAACGACUGACAUUGCACACAAGGUGGAUAUGGAUUGUUUAAAAAGUGCCAUAAAACACUUAUUGUGAAUGAUCCUUCCGCAGGUUCACCUACGGAAA